GAUGAACGCUGGCGGCGUGCCUAAUACAUGCAAGUCGAGCGAACAGAUGAGGAGCUUUCUCCCCUGACAUUAGCGGCGGACGGGUGAGUAACACGUGGAUAACACACCUAUAAGACUGGGAUAACUUCGGGAGACCGGAGCUAAUACCGGACAAUAUAUUGAACCGCAUGGUUCAAUAGUGAAAGACGGUUUUGCUGUCACUUAUAGAUGGAUCCGGGCCGCAUUAUCUAGUUGGUAAGGUAACGGCUUACCAAGGCACCGAUGGGUAGCCGACCUGAGAGAGGGACCGCCAAAUCGGGACCGGGGAACCGCCCAAGACUCCUCCGGAGGGAACAGGGGGGGAACUUUCGGAAUGGAGGGAAGUCCGGCCGGGGAACCCCGGCGUGGUGAUUACAGCUCUCGGGUUCGAAAGACCCGGUUAUUGGGAAGAAAGGACUGUUUGAGAAUAGUGGCAAGGAUUGACGGUACCGGAAUAGAAAGCCACGGCUAACUACGUG
rnacentral:rRNA from 1 species